UACGGAGGGUGCAAGCGUUAUCCGGAUUCACUGGGUUUAAAGGGUGCGUAGGUGGGCUGGUAAGUCAGUGGUGAAAUCCCCGAGCUUAACUUGGGAACUGCCAUUGAUACUAUCAGUCUUGAAUACCGUGGAGGUCGGCGGAAUAUGUCAUGUAGCGGUGAAAUGCUUAGAUAUGACAUAGAACACCAAUUGCGAAGGCAGCUGACUACGCGAGUAUUGACACUGAGGCACGAAAGCGUGGGGAUCAAACAGG
rnacentral:rRNA from 1 species